AUUCAAGUAGCUUAAAGUAGAGCAUAACACUGAAGAUGUUAGGGUAAUUGUUUAAUUCUUGGAUG
rnacentral:tRNA from 1 species